rnacentral:rRNA from 1 species
GACUCUCAACAAUGAAUAUCUUGGCUCUCGCAUCGAUGAAGAACGCACUAAAAUGCGAUACUUGGUGUGAAUUGCAGAAUUCCAUGAACCAUCGAGUUUUUGAACGCAAGUUGAGCCCGAUGUCAUUAUGCUAAGGGCACGUCUACCUGGGUGUCA